rnacentral:rRNA from 1 species
UACGGAGGGUGCAAGCGUUAAUCGGAUUUAUUGGGCGUAAAGGGCGCGUAGGCCGAAAUGCCAGCCAGAUGUGAAAGCCCGGGGCUUAACCCCGGAAUUGCAUUUGGAACUGCAUUUCUAGAGGAUAGGCGGAGAAAACGGAAUUCCACAUGUAGCGGUGAAAUGCGUAGAUAUGUGGAGGAACACCGGUGGCGAAGGCGGUUUUCUAGCUUAUUCCUGACGCUGAGGCGAGAAAGCAGGGGGAGCAAACAGG